CCAGGAUUUGACACAAAUUUGACACCGUCCAAGUGUCAAAUUGUUAUUGGCUGAUGUUUUAUUUACUAAAACGUUUUAUUUAAUAAACUGGCAGGGGCAGAAGUGGAAUAAAAAUUGUUUGAACAUCAAUUUGUAAUUGGCGGUUUCAUUUUGGUUUUUAGAGCAGUUUCGAACACUUUCUACUUUCGCCUCCUCUCAUUGUCUUCGUUCUUCCACCACCAUCUCCACCAUUGCUUUUUUCUGUGUGCGUUCUUUGUCCACCACCAUCUCCAUAGCUUCGUUCUCUUCGUUGCUACGUUGAGAAUAGUUGCCGAGAAGAGUUUCGAACACGAACGCAACGCCUCCUCUCAACGCCUUCUUUGUCCACCAUCACUAUAACUAUUGCUUCGUUCUCUCCAUUGGUCCCUUCGUUUCAUUUUGUCUCAACCAGGGAAAGGCGACGAUUAAGAAGUUGGAAUGGCUUCGUCAAUCCCAAAUUGGAGGGUUCGUACUUGUUUGGAUACAUCUUAUAUCAUUGCAAUGAAUAAAUUGUUGAGAGAAGAUCAUCUUCUACGAAUUUGUGACACACCUUUCAGGUGGUGUGUGUAUCUACGUGAAAAGGUGGACAUAAACUGUGAGUUAAUUAAGGUGAUGGUAUGUCGGUGGGCCGGCCAUGACGUUAGCUUUAGAGUGAGUCAUGAACUGGUUCCAUUUACCGUUUUAGAUGUUUUCAUGACGACUGGUUUUGGUAUAGGUGGUUUAGAAGUACCGUUUGAUGAAUGUAU